UUGCUGAGAUGGCACGUGAUGUGCUAGCCAUUCCUAUUUCUAGUGUUGCCUCAGAAUCAGCCUUUAGUACCGGUGGACGCAUACUUGAUCCAUUUAGGAGUUCAUUGACACCUAGAUUGGUUCAAGCUCUUGUGUGUGUCCAAGAUUGUCUUCAGAAUGAAUCAACAACUCCGGUUAAAAUUGAAGAAGAUUUAGAUAAUCUUGAACAACUUGAAGCGGACUUGAUUAAUACCGGAAGAGAGCCUUGCAUCGUCGACAUAUAAAAGUAUUGCAGAACUUGAAAGUGUGCCAGGUUGAGGAUUUCAGUUCCAGUGUGCCAGAACU